GACGAACGCUGGCGGCGUGCUUAACACAUGCAAGUCGAACGGAAAGGCCCUGCUUUUGUGGGGUGCUCGAGUGGCGAACGGGUGAGUAACACGUGAGUAACCUGCCCUUGACUUUGGGAUAACUUCAGGAAACUGGGGCUAAUACCGGAUAGGAGCUCCUGCUGCAUGGUGGGGGUUGGAAAGUUUCGGCGGUUGGGGAUGGACUCGCGGUUUAUCAGCUUGUUGGUGGGGUAGUGGCUUACCAAGGCUUUGACGGGUAGCCGGCCUGAGAGGGUGACCGGCCACAUUGGGACUGAGAUACGGCCCGGACUCCUACGGGAGGCAGCAGUGGGGAAUAUUGCACAAUGGGCGGAAGCCUGAUGCAGCAACGCCGCGUGCGGGAUGACGGCCUUCGGGUUGUAAACCGCUUUCGCCUGUGACGAAGCGUGAGUGACGGUAAUGGGUAAAGAAGCACCGGCUAACUACGU
rnacentral:rRNA from 1 species